rnacentral:rRNA from 1 species
AAUCAACGCUGGCGGCGUGCCUCAGACAUGCAAGUCGAACGAUUAAAGCUCUCUUCGGAGAGUGUAUAGAGUGGCGCACGGGUGAGUAACACGUAAGUAAUCUACCCUCGAGUGGGGAAUAACAACCGGAAACGGUUGCUAAUACCGCAUAAUGCAGCGGCACCGCAAGGUGACAGUUGUUAAAGAUUUAUCGCUUGAGGAGGAGCUUGCGGCAGAUUAGCUAGUUGGUAGGGUAACGGCUUACCAAGGCUACGAUCUGUAACCGGUCUAAGAGGACGGUCGGUCACACUGACACUGAAUAAACGGGUCAGACUCCUACGGGAGGCAGCAGUCGGGAAUUUUGGGCAAUGGGCGAAAGCCUGACCCGGCAACGCCGCGUGAAGGAUGAAGUAUUUCGGUAUGUAAACUUCGAAAGAAUAGGAAGAAUUAAUAGACGGUACUAUUUAUAAGGUCCGGCUAACUACGUGCCAGCAGCCGCGGUAAU